CAAAGAUACAAAAAAAAGUAAAUGAUUGAUAAGAAAAAGAAAUAGUAGAUAAAAAUAAAAAUGAUCUACUUUUUUCCGAGUUCAUAUUAUAGGUAAGUGCAGAAUUUUGAUGUUUUAUUCAGCAAAAAUAAAAAAAAACAUAAUUGAUAAAAAAAUAUAUAUAAUCAACAAAGAAUAAAUAUCUAAUCGACUUUUUCCCGAGUUUAGAAAUUCAGUCGAGUCUAGAAUUAUUUUGCAAGGACGAAAAAAGAAAAAAAAAUCGUAACUUCAUCGCAUUAGAAAAUCAUCAAAAUAUUACAAUUCAUUAUAAUUCGGACAACAACUUGAUUUAUUCGUUAUAUAUUUCCGAUGCACUGGACUGAGAGAGAGCGAGAGAGAGAGAGAGAGAGAGAGAGAGAGAGAGAGAGAGAGAGAGAGAGAGAG